AUUGCUUCUGUUUUGAAUAUCAUAUUCGUGCCUGCCGGUGGAAAAAUUAGAGCGACAUAUUAGUGCAUUGGUAAAGUGCUCUUAUCAUUCUGUUAUAGUCAACUGCAGCCAAUCUUCUUUGGACAAUAAGUUGUAUUGGUGGAGCAGUUUCCUGAGCUUUGGAAGUGUUUGGGCUUGUUCGAGUUGCAAUUACAACUGUAGUGUUGCGUGAAUAAAGCAUCACGUUCGCUGUGAAUUUGUAGCAACGUUUUACCAAUUAGGAUGUUGGAACCGUCUUGCAAAUUUUCAUCAGCGCUGCAGUUUUUGUGCUUUUAUUGCGUGCCUCGAGCAGGCCCUUUAUCAGUGAAUAGUUGUGGUUGUUGUAGUAGUAGCCGCAUUACGAAGCCCGGCCUCAGUCGGUUUUCCAUCAACAACAACGACAAUAAUAACCUGUUUAUGCAUUCCUGUUUUAUUGCAUUCCCCUUUCCAAAUUAAUAUUAUACUAUGUUUAAGGCUCGGUGAAAUAAAUGAAGCGCUACUGGAGGCAAAUUAAAAUAUCUCCCUCAGCAAAAAUGAGACUCUCGCUCAUGAUGAAAGCAUGUUAAUAGUUUAUUCUUUGAAACAUCACCGACAUAGUCAUAUUCUAAAGCAUCAUCAACGCCAUCACCAAAUUCAAUGCCAUCAACACCAUCAGCGGCUAGUAACAAUGUAUACCACAGAUUUAUGGCGAAUUACAAGGAGGCAAAAAACAUAUACAUAUGUAGGAAUUGUAAAAUUCCUAAAAUUUUGCAAAGUUUUAAGAAAACUGCAUUUUCUUGCACCACUAUAACUGACUUCCAAUUGUUAAUAUAUAUCAAAAGAAAGCUAAAAGGAUUACCUUUCCUUUGAUUAUAAAACCAUUUAAAUCGCUGGACAUUUUUAUGCAAAUUUCGCAACUUUUGAAAUCAUCUCUAUGUAAG